rnacentral:RNase_P_RNA from 1 species
AAAGUAGGCUGGACAGUCGCUCUAUUUUAUAGGGAGGAAAGUCCGGGCUCCUGCGGGCAAAGUGCCAGGUAACUCCUGGGAGGCGUGAGCCUACGGCUAGUGCAACAGAAAAUAUACCGCCAUAUUUAUAUGGUAAGGUUGAAAUGGUGCGGUAAGAGCGCACCGCAUUGUAGGCAACUAUGAUGGCAGUGUAAACCCCACUUGGAGCAAGACCAAAUAGGAGCUGAUUAUAGUGUGCCCCCACUCAGCUCGGGUAGGUUGCUUGAGGUCCAUGGUGACAUGGAUCCCAGAUGAAUGACUGUUCUAGACAGAACCCGGCUUACAGGCCUGCUUUCACC